rnacentral:tRNA from 1 species
GGUACGUAGCUCAGUGGCAGAGCACUUGCCUAGCAUGUGUGAGGCACUGGGUUCAAUCCUUAGCACCA